GUGCUUGCUUUGGCAGCACAUAUACUAAAACUGGAAUGAUACAGAGAAGAUUAGCAUGGCCCUUGCACAAGGAUGACAUGCAGAAUUUGUUUACUGUUCUUUU
rnacentral:snRNA from 1 species